GCAGGAGGCCCUGCGACUGCUCUGUCGUGGGGCGAAGACCAAAUUCUUGGGGAUUUUUCGUAAAGGGCGCUUUGACCUUCCUUUUGUACAUAUUCUGAAAGUUGACACCUUUGAAGACCCUCUGCAGGGACCCAGAUACCCCGCCUACGAGGCUUUGGGGGGCGGAAUUUGGCUGAACAGAUAAGAAAUGUUGAUUUUUCUUUUGUUCUUUGCACUUUUUGGCAGCAGUUGAAACAGUUCUGCCCCAAACACCGACUUGCCUCACGUGUGAUGCUGCAACUUACAAAAAUUGUUUGUUAAAGUAUUCUCUCCUAAUAAGUGUAAUGUACAACAUGCACAGUCCUGGAUGAUUUUGAAAUGUUUGUUGGAAGACAUUGAUUUUUCUACCUAAAAGUAGACAUAAAUUGAUUUUAAAGUAUUGGUAUGUUUCUUGAUAAUACAAGUUUCAUUUUUUCCAACAUCAUCCGUCUUCACCCCCGGAAAGAAUGAAGCUUUCAUAAAUGAAAAAAAAGGUCAGUUAGGGCUCUGGUCGUGUUUUCAUGCUCUUUUGAAUGGAUGGUGAUCAAAUUCCUGCCAGUGCCUUUAAUGUAUUCCUACUACCCUUAAUUAGUAUGCUUACCUUAUUAAAAAAAAAUAAACAUUUUUUUCUUAUGACAACUCAGGAUGUUUUAUUUUUACUUUAAGGUUUCAAACCAUAGAGUAAAUAAAGCAAAGGCUUUUUGAAUCAGACCUACCUGGGUUCAAGGCAUGUGCUUUCCCUCUUUGUACAUUAUUAGAGUUAUUUCUUUAAAAUUAACAUCCUUCACAAAGUUUCCUCUACCAAUUUGGAAGACAGAUAUAACUUUUCCCCCACUAUCCCACUAAACAUACGGCCCUUAGGUUUUCCCUUAUGCUAAUAAAUUUUCAGAGCACUUCCCUAUUUUACAAAUGAGGAAAUUGAAGCCUAAAUGAAAUAAUUAGUUAAGGAAAUAUGAAUCCAGAGUGUCUGGGUGAAAGUCCAUUCUUUGACUACUGUUUCUACUUUUAUAUAGCCACCCAAGAAACACUUCUCUCUGCUUAUGUAUCCUUAAAAACAAUGAUAAUAAUGUUUAAUACUUAUAUAUGUAUCAUGCACCGUUUCAGCAGUUUACCUUUUUUAACUCAUUCAAUCCCACAACAACCUUAGAAGGCAGGUACCAUAAUUAUCUUCAUUUUACCAAGGAGGAAACACCGACAGAGAUGUUGAUGAAGCGUCACCCAUCCAAAAAUUCUCUGGAAGAUGAUUUUUACACACUGAGCACACUGUUCCAGGAGUGGUCUGUUGUGAGGAUUAAAUGAGAAUAUAUGCAGACUGGAAAGGAACAAGGAUGAUCCUGUGUCCCUAGUGUAUUGCACAGUGCUCAGUCCUUAGGAGCUGUUGACUUAACGUUUGUUGAAUGAAUUAUUAGUACAGCAUAGAGUGGGACUGAAAACCUUCACUUUUUUAAGACCUUGUAUUUUUAAUAAUGUAGCCUAAAAUUGAAGUUGGAGGCUCUUUUUUGGGUGAUACUACAUGCUGUUCCUUACAUUCACAAAUGUAAUCCUUUAAGAUUAAGGCUUUGGACUAUCAAGGAAAGUAGAAAACAAGGUCUCCUGAGGUACUUUUCAUGGAUGUCAAAAUAAGUUGCUUUCCUGGGCAUUAUAUGCUAGGACAGAGUGAGGGAGGUGGAGAGAGAGCCAUGGGAAAGCCUGUAUGGAUGGUCCUGGGUGACUAGAGGUAAGUGUGAAAUUCUUAGAGCUCAGGGAAAGUGGAAAGGGCUCUAGGAAAAAAGAUAGGCAUUGAAAACUGUUUCUCAUUUUAGGUAUAGGUCUAGACUGGCCAACACUAAAUAAAACAUGAGGCUGAUAUGCUACUCUUACCUGGAAUAUGUCUCCACUUCCCUUCCAUCUGUGAUCCUGCCUGUGUGCAAAAUGUUCAGUUAAGUGAAUAAGAGAGAGAGAGAAUCAGAAUUAUAAAGCAUUUUAAUCAGGAUGGAAAUCAGUAGAGCAUUGAUUAGGAGCAUGGUCUCCAGAAUCCGACAUCUGGUUUGACUCUUGGUCCUUUCUAGCUGGUGAUCUUGGAAUAUUUCCUUACUGGCCUCUGCCUCUGUUUUCUCAUCCAUGAAAUGAGUAUAUUAAUAGUACCUACUUCAAAUCAUUGUUGAUUUCAUGAGAAAAUAAAUAAAAAAUUGGUGGCUCAUAAGUCUUCAAUAAAUGUUAGCUAUUAUUACUAUGGUACUGUUUAUUCUACUGUCCACCCCCCCUACUCUGCUCCAAAUGCAGCAAUUAUAAAUUAAAAAAAAAUAUAUGCUUAUAGAAAAUAAAAAAUUAAAAAAAAACUUAAUAAAAGUAAAUAAAUAAAUAAAAUAAAUUAAAAAAGAAAGCAAAGAUACAGGUAUAUUAGAGAACAAGAUAAACAUCUCCAGGGACUAACACAGAAAUGAAACAUGCAAUUAGACUCUGGAUUCAGGAGCUGGUGGAAAUAACUGUGUAAGGGAAUUGGAGUCAUACAGUGGAUGAAACUAGGGGCUUGGCGGGGCUAGAUGAAAAGAAGACUGAGCACCUCUGCUCCUGGAUAUUGCUCUAAGAAGCUGUGGACCUGACGAGGUGGCACAGAAAUGGCUGAGCUGCCAGAUGGCUCAGAGUUGGGAACUGUAAUUUCCACACACUAUCAUGUGCUUCAAGAGCACCAAGCUUGGAGGUCAUGUGGUCUGGAAGAAGGGUGACCUAUCUCAAACCACCAGAAAAAAGGAAGGGAAAGUUUGAGCCUGCAAACAUAUUGAGGGAAAGAACAUUAUUUAGAAAAUAAGCACAACAAUCAGGAGGUAAAUUCACUCAAGAUCUAAUGGAAUUACUCAGCAAUUUCAUAGAUCUUAAAAAGGUAAAGUAGUAGCUAUUAAAAACUUACUAUGAAC